rnacentral:rRNA from 1 species
AUGGCUAGGAUUAAUUACGUCAUCAUUUCCCUGAUCCCCAAAUUAGUUGGGGCGACGGAUAUCCGGCAGUUCCGCCCCAUCACGGUGAUCAACGUGUUGGAGCGAAUCUUUGCGAAGGUUUGUGCAACCCGUUUAUCACCGGUGGCGGAGCGUAUUUCUCACCCCCUCCAGUCCGGUUCUUGA